rnacentral:rRNA from 1 species
UACGAAGGGGGCUAGCGUUGUUCGGAAUUACUGGGCGUAAAGGGCGCGUAGGCGGUGUGUCAAGUCAGGCGUGAAAGCCCCGGGCUCAACCUGGGAAUGGCGAUGGAUACUGGCGGGCUAGAGUGCGGUAGAGGAGAGUGGAAUUCCCGGUGUAGCAGUGAAAUGCGUAGAGAUCGGGAGGAACAUCAGUUGCGAGGGCGGCUCUCUGGACCAGCACUGACACUGAGGCACGAAAGCGUGGGGAGCAAACAGG